AUCCAGCAAUGCCGCGUGUGUGAAGAAGGCCUUCGGGUUGUAAAGCACUUUUGUCCGGAAAGAAAACGUCGUGGUUAAUACCCGUGGCGGAUGACGGUACCGGAAGAAUAAGCACCGGCUAACUACGUGCCAGCAGCCGCGGUAAUACGUAGGGUGCAAGCGUUAAUCGGAAUUACUGGGCGUAAAGCGUGCGCAGGCGGUCCGCUAAGACAGAUGUGAAAUCCCCGGGCUUAACCUGGGAACUGCAUUUGUGACUGGCGGGCUAGAGUAUGGCAGAGGGGGGUAGAAUUCCACGUGUAGCAGUGAAAUGCGUAGAGAUGUGGAGGAAUACCGAUGGCGAAGGCAGCCCCCUGGGCCAAUACUGACGCUCAUGCACGAAAGCGUGGGGAGCAAACAGGAUUAGAUACCCUG
rnacentral:rRNA from 2 species